GGGGCUGUAAUGGUUUCGACGUGUUGGUGAAAACUAUCUUGUGAUGCAGGUCGAGAGGGAGUCAUCUCUCGUAAAUCAAGGCUCAAUCAAACGUAAGUGCGAACAACAUCGUACCUUUUGCUCGCAAAGCUGCACCUGUUGCUGCUUAAUAGGUAAAAAACCCGCGAGCGUCUGUAGUUCGACUCCGUUAAGGAUUACAGACCAACCCCAACGGAUGCUCUAACCCAUUGCCUCUAGUCGUUGGUUAGCUAAGACUUUACUAGAGAAUCCCAUCGUCAGGAAUAAUUGACGGCUCCCGCCUUGAGGACGAGAUAGGCUAAACCUGUGAAUGAAUGGGGUACGAAUAGCCAGGGCGGACACGGGUUCGAUUCCCGUCAGCUCCAUCA
rnacentral:tmRNA from 1 species